rfam:Otolemur garnettii contig116915, whole genome shotgun sequence.
AAGACGGCACUUCCAGGGAUCAUUUUCAUAGUUCAUUCAUUACUGGAGAAGCUUCUCUGAACGUGUAGAGCACAGUUCCUCAGGCAGCGUUCUCCCCUCAGCCUCAGGCCGGCUCUGAUGUCACUUUGCUGCAGCUGCCAUUUGCAAUUGAUGAUCAUGCUUCUCUUCCUUUGGGGCAGCUAGAGGGAGAGGACGCAGUCUAAGUGGU